AUCCUGGCUCAGAUUGAACGCUGGCGGCAGGCCUAACACAUGCAAGUCGAACGGUAGCACAGAGGAGCUUGCUCCUUGGGUGACGAGUGGCGGACGGGUGAGUAAUGUCUGGGAAACUGCCCGAUGGAGGGGGAUAACUACUGGAAACGGUAGCUAAUACCGCAUAACGUCGCAAGACCAAAGAGGGGGACCUUCGGGCCUCUUGCCAUCGGAUGUGCCCAGAUGGGAUUAGCUAGUAGGUGGGGUAACGGCUCACCUAGGCGACGAUCCCUAGCUGGUCUGAGAGGAUGACCAGCCACACUGGAACUGAGACACGGUCCAGACUCCUACGGGAGGCAGCAGUGGGGAAUAUUGCACAAUGGGCGCAAGCCUGAUGCAGCCAUGCCGCGUGUAUGAAGAAGGCCUUCGGGUUGUAAAGUACUUUCAGCGAGGAGGAAGGGGAUGUGGUUAAUAACCGCAUUCAUUGACGUUACUCGCAGAAGAAGCACCGCUAACUCCGUG
rnacentral:rRNA from 1 species